rnacentral:rRNA from 1 species
GACGAACGCUGGCGGCGUGCUUAACACAUGCAAGUCGAACGGAAAGGCUCCAGCUUGCUGGAGUACUCGAGUGGCGAACGGGUGAGUAACACGUGGGUGAUCUGCCCUGCACUUCGGGAUAAGCCUGGGAAACUGGGUCUAAUACCGGAUAGGACCGCACUUUGGUGUGUGUGGUGGCAAGGUUUUUCUGGUGUGGGAUGAGCUCGCGGCCUAUCAGUUUGUUGGUGGGGUAAUGGCCUACCAAGACGGCGACGGGUAGCCGGCGUGAGAGGGUGGACGGGCACAUUGGGACUGGGAUACGGCCCAGACUCCUACGGGAGGCAGCAGUGGGGGAUAUUGCACAAUGGGGGAAAGCCUGAUGCAGCGACGGCGCGUGGGGGAUGAAGGCCUUCGGGUUGUAAUCGCCUUUCGCUAGGGACGAAGCUUUUUGUGACGGUACCUGGAGAAGAAGCACCGGCUAACUACGUG